UACGGAGGGGCUAGCGUUGUUCGGAAUUACUGGGCGUAAAGCGCACGUAGGCGGCUUUGUAAGUUAGAGGUGAAAGCCCGGGGGCUCAACUCCGGAAUUGCCUUUAAGACUGCAUCGCUAGAAUUGUGGAGAGGUAAGUGGAAUUCCGAGUGUAGAGGUGAAAUUUCGUAGAUAUUCGGAAGAACACCAGUGGCGAAGGCGACUUACUGGACACAUAUUGACGCUGAGGUGCGAAAGCGUGGGGAGCAAACAGG
rnacentral:rRNA from 1 species